CCGGUCUGCACGGGAGAGCCCUCUCCGGUCCCGCCGAGAGAGGCGCCGAAGGCGCAACUUCCGCCCGGAAACGCUCAGGCAAACGGACCGUGUGUGAUCA
rnacentral:ncRNA from 1 species